rnacentral:rRNA from 1 species
AUACGGAGGGAGCGAGCGUUAAUCGGAAUUACUGGGCGUAAAGCGCGCGUAGGCGGUUUAUCAAGUCAGAUGUGAAAGCCCUGGGCUUAACCUGGGAACUGCAUUUGAAACUGAUAAACUAGAGUUUGGUAGAGGGUGACGGAAUUCCAGGUGUAGCGGUGAAAUGCGUAGAUAUCUGGAGGAACAUCAGUGGCGAAGGCGGUUGCCUGGACCAAAACUGACGCUGAGGUGCGAAAGCGUGGGGAGCAAACAGGAUUAGAUACCCCAGUAGUCC